rnacentral:lncRNA from 1 species
UUUCUAGUCUUCCUGCUGAAAGAUCUAUCCUUGUUUGUGGCUACGGCGAGGUGGAUAAAGAGCUCUGAGCACGACAUUUACGGAGGUAGUGCGAAACACCACCAAUGCUUCGUGCCUGGUCCCUGCAAUUGUGCAUUAAGUUCCCUGAAUCCCUUCAGGUUCCUAUUCUAGAACUGCGUUUUGCAUUCAUUGAAAAUGCUUGUAUUGCAGUUCAGUAUGAUCCUAGCUAUAGAUUUUCUCUGGAAGACCUAAGGUUGUUUGGUCAUUCAUGCUUUUGUUCAUUCUUGUAUUGCAUAAUCUCUUCAGCUUGCAAGUUGCGGUAAGUGCCAUAGUAGUGGAGUAUUGAUGAAAUGUAGAAGUUACGUAGAUGUUGUGCAGUUUGAUUUCCAACACAUCUAUUGCCAAUUGAAUUAUGUGCGGUUGAUGGAUUUGUGCAAUUCCACUGCUGAAUGUGCGAGCAAACAACAUUAGUUCUACAAUGCUCCAAAUUGUGCUUUAGCUGUCAAGACAUUUGAAGAGUCACGAUUGGUCGCAAAGGGUUUUGAAAACUGCCUGGACUCGGUGAGGAUAUUAUUUGAAAACCUGUUUACACUUCUAAAUGGCGUCUUAGGUUGCACAAUUAUGCAAGGCAGUGGUCAAUAGCUUUUCUUUACGUUUCAAUCGUUUUGGUGUUACUAUGUAGUGUCAAAAUUUGGCCACCUUUACACUACUUAACGCGGUAACAUAUUAGUGUGCGUCCACUGCAGCUUUGUCCUAACGGAAAUGUAGUCUGCAGGAGAAGGAAAGUGUAAUGACGACUUGUUGCAUCGACUUUCUAAAUCGUACCAUGUUCACUCAGAAUGACCAUUCUGAACUUUCCAACUCUCUGUCUCUACGAAGUGUGCUAGACAAAGUUGCACGGGUGUGGAGGCAUGCAAGUUAGCGAUGAAAAGUAGCUAUGUGCGACAAAAUUGAAUUUUAGACCAACUCCUUCGUGCAGGGGUUAUCAUUUAUGAAAAGCGAGAACACCACAGAAUUUCAGCUGGCUGUCAAAUCAAUGGCACUGUCUGUGUAAAGCAUGCUGCGACGAAAAGCACCUCUUGCCAGUGGCUUCUGUUCCUUGUCAGGGGCGUGACACUUACGACUCUUGUAUGUGAUAGAAGAUAUGGUAUCUAAGAGAAUAAAACUUUGAAGUUGUGCUUCAUCGUUUGCACGUGUGCUGAUGUCGUUAAUCUGAU